GGUAGCAUCCUUUCUCGACUUCGGUCCCUCAUUUGCUGCCACGGGCCUGGACGGCCUGCGGUCAUUGAGGGCAUCGAAAGUCAUUCCUAUCGAGGGACUUGAUUGGGAGCAACCGGGGGCCGAGGCCCCCCAAUGUCCGCUUAAUUUUCCACAUCCGAGAGCGCGAGCAGUCGCCCCCGUGCACCGAUACAGCCACGACAACRGUCAGAGGACAUGUCCGGGACACGAGGUCUGCUUUCGAGGUCCACUUUGCAGCCGCAGAGCCACAAGGGGGAAAGGGGCGGGGGCA
rnacentral:misc_RNA from 1 species